GUCACAAUGUGCAAAAAGCCUGUGUGGAUGCCCCAUCAAGUAACUAGCCUUUCAGGAGAUUUAAGGGUUUGCCAUUUAGAUAACCCUUUCCCUAGGUUGUCUCUUGGUGGAUGUUUGCAGUUAAAAUGACCCCAGAUCCAGCAUGGUGGUCAUGUUCCCAGUCCUGUGACAUCAGCAAUUUCAGAAGUCAAGCCUGAAGGCUACACAAACCCCAUCAGAGAGAGAAUGAGCCUCUGAGGUGAGCAAGAAGCUUCAGUGUAACAAGCACUAGGGGAACGACACACUGGAAAGCAGCAGCGUCAGCGAAGAGACAAGGUGACAGAUGUGAACCAGAGGAAGGCUGAUCCCUCAGGCUCACUCAGCACACUGGGAUAUCCCUGCAGGUCCACUGCUGUCGCUGAGAAACGCUGAGAGUAGAGCUGUCAACUAGGAAGAGGAGUGGGGGAAAAAUCCCUGUUGGAAUCAAUGCUGAAUCGCAGAGGUUUGCCUGUGCAAACCGGGAUGGAAAACCCUAGGCUCCGGGGAGCCAUCACUGAGAACUGAGAGGUGGAAUGCCCUGGGGCAGGAAAGGAAUGUUUCAGGGACCAGAGCAAAGCCUACAAGAAUGAAAACCUGAGGACAACCAUGAGAGCCAGGAACAGGCCAUCAAACACAGCUUUAGAGGUCAUAUUCCUUUUGGCACCAGAAAGAAUAAUGACCAUAAGUGAUUUGCUUUGCAUUUAUGGCUUUU